UGCCAAUCGUGGACUUAUACGCUAGGAAGAGGACAGAGCUGAGUGCAGGGCCGUAAGCAACCUCAAAGGUUUUUCCUGUCCCACAGUGUGAUUUGAGGAACCACAGGUGAUACGAUGUGGCAAUCAAUGCUGGGUUUGGGUCUUUGUUAGUAUGGAGAAUUUUGGAUCUCCUAGGUGCUAUGUGAAGAACGGAAGCGAAGAAGGCUGAAGAAGAUGCUAAAAGCCUGAACCGAGAGCAGUGAGAACCAGCCUCCUCCUGGCCCACCCACUCAAACUAACCAUGUGGCCCUUUCUUCCCUCUAUAUGCUCCUAUAUCAUAAUCUGGCUACCCAGAUAAUUCAAUAUCCAAUAAAUUUACCCAAAUGAUCCAGAUGUGUCACAGCUCCCCCACCUGGGAGUGAAGCAAAACUAAACAAAGGCUCUCUGUCAUUACACUGGACACGUGGAGAAAACAGACCCGCUAGAAAGGGACUCUUUUUAAGUCUUCUGAGUCUCCUGUGCCUAGUGUCUUGACUUUUAAUUUUUAGGGAGCCCUUGGAGUACUUUUGAGUGCUAAUGGGAUCUGACAAGACAUACACAUCCGGAAACUCCACUCCCGCAGCCCCAGGCCCUGCCAAAGCCACCAGGAUAUUCUGUGAAAGGUGUGUUGUUGAAAAUUGAACCCAGGACCUUGUAUAAGCUAUGAAAGAACUCUACCAGUCAGCUGCGUUCCCCUGCCUGGAAUGGUCUCUUGUGGCAGCUGGCGAAGUGAUGAGGAAAUUAAAUGCACAUGGGAGGGAGGCUCGGACUGCAGCUCAGUGGGAGAGGACGUUCCUAACCUGGGUGACGUCCUCGGUUGGACUCUCCAGCGCCACAUUCAACAAAUAAGAAAACCACCAUGUCUUCA